UACGAAGGGGGGCUAGCGUUGCUCGGAAUCACUGGGCGUAAAGCGCACGUAGGCGGGUUCUUAAGUCGGUGGUGAAAUCCUGGAGCUCAACUCCAGAACUGCCUCCGAUACUGAGAGCCUCGAGUCCGGGAGAGGUGAGUGGAACUGCGAGUGUAGAGGUGAAAUUCGUAGAUAUUCGCAAGAACACCAGUGGCGAAGGCGGCUCACUGGCCCGGUACUGACGCUGAGGUGCGAAAGCGUGGGGAGCAAACAGG
rnacentral:rRNA from 1 species